rnacentral:miRNA from 1 species
GUACGGUGACCCUAGUGACAU